rnacentral:siRNA from 1 species
AGCGGUGUCUCUAAAGGUUGUAGG